rnacentral:lncRNA from 1 species
UUUGCCUCCCGUGAGUUGUAGGCGCGUUCUAGCAGCAGUUCGCAUAGUUCGGCAGAAUUUUGCUUCCCCGCAAGUCUCCAUCAAAGUUGUCCCUAACCUCUGUUAACCCUGAUUCUGAGCAGUGUGGUAGUUGUCCUCCGCAGGGUUGUCUCCCAUUUGGUAUGGUUUUCACCUAAAAUUCCCCGCAGAGUUGAUGUUGUAGUUUCCUUAGCAGAUCCUC